UCUUUUUUUCUUGCAUUCCCCUACCCUCAGGACCCUGACCUCGGUGUUUGUCGUGCCGGCCGCGACAAGUGGCUCCCGAACAGGGACCUGAGACAACAAGGAGGAAAGUGAAAGCGGACCGCGCGGCGUCUAAUUCAGAGGAAGAUCCCGAGCUGUUCAGCUCUUUGGACAUGAUCCAGAAUUUACUGCAUGUGCCUUUCUGACACAGAAGCUGGUGGACGCUGCUUUUGCUCAGUCCAUCGAAUGGCAACUUGCCUUGGCUAAUUUUACAGGAUGAGGAAGCGCCACGCUGGGUCCCGCUUCGGCUCCUCAGAGACAUUACAGUUGCACCGAAAAAUGGCCAAAUUGACAGCGACGGAGCCCUCCCAGAAGCGACAACGGUGGAGUCAUAAGGCGGGUACACCCACAUGGGGACAGAUAAAGAACCUGUUGACCCAGGCCACUGAUGUAGUGAUGGCCUCAGGUAGAGAGGUAACAGCCACACAUGUCUUCUUGGCAUGCCUGUGCAUUCUAACUACAACCGGGGAGUCUGCUCUCUAUUGGGCAUACAUGGUAGGUCCUCCUACAGUACAACCUGUAACAUGGAGAGACCCCACACCCAAAGUAUACACCAACCUCACCUUUAUGGGAGGGGAAGAUGCAGGGUUUUUGCCCACUGUGUCGGCCUCUAUAAAUUGGACGGCACUCUCUGCAGGAGUACCCAUCUGCCUGCAAAGGGAGUCUACGCCGUACAAACUUGCUUAUGGGUGUUUGGGUAUGAAACCAGUAGGGCGGUCUAUUACUUAUACAUUGUGGCAAAAUGGCAAGUGUCCUUCUGAAUGGGUACCCCGCUCCGUUGCCGUUUAUUGGCAAAAGAGAGAAUUAUUAGGAGAAUGGAUGUUUUUUGGACCACAUGAUCCCCCUCAGAGUCUUCCUAUAUGUCCCUCAGCUGGUCAAGGCCUUACUGGGGACUCACCUUGGGGUAUAUGUGCCCAAUCCUCUUCUUUGAGGAUGACUCCUAAAGACAUAAACUAUACCAUUACAGAUUAUUCCCGAAAG